GGAAAAAAAAAGAAUGAGAGUAGGCAACUUGAGUGUGAGUGUGCGCGUUGGCGAGAUAUUUACAAUUUUAAUUAUUUUUCACGGAGAAAUUAUUCAUUAAAAGUGAUUUAGUACACGUUUAUUUCACCGUGACGUCUUUGAAGAAACUAAACUAGCAAUAUAUAUGUAGAUGGAUUACAACAAUAUUUUUACAAGUAGAUAAAGAAUAAAAAUAAGGACAAAAGAGUUAUCGAAAAAAGUUAUGAGUACUAGAACAUAUAUUGAUGGAUAAUAUUGUACGUAUACAAUAAUUCAAAUAAAAAAACAAUGAUUAUAGUAAUGGUAAAAAUACUGAAAAAUAAAAAAUGAUAACAAUAAAAUCUGUUGAA